rnacentral:rRNA from 1 species
UACGCAGGGGGCUAGCGUUGCUCGGAAUUACUGGGCGUAAAGGGCGCGUAGGCGGUCGUGACAAGUCACUUGUGAAAUCUCCGGGCUUAACUCGGAACGGUCAAGUGAUACUGUCGGACUAGAGUACAGAAGGGGCAACUGGAAUUCUCGGUGUAGCGGUGAAAUGCGUAGAUAUCGAGAGGAACACCUGCGGCGAAGGCGGGUUGCUGGGCUGAUACUGACGCUGAGGCGCGAAAGCCAGGGGAGCGAACGGG